rnacentral:snRNA from 1 species
AUCUUAGCGCUUGGGGCAAUGACGCAGUUAGUGAGGUUCUAACCGAGGCACGUUUAUUGCUGCUUGAAGACUAUUUCAAAACCCCCUCUAAAGAAAGGGGAAAAAUAAAAUAAAGCUAAACGUUGGCAUUAGAGGCGAGGGAUAUAGAAAUACCUGGAGUGACCUUUUACUGGAUCCUUAGAGGUC